rnacentral:hammerhead_ribozyme from 1 species
AUCCAGAUGACGAAUCCGAAAUAGGGACGAAACGCGCGUCAAACUGGAU